rnacentral:rRNA from 1 species
AGAGUUUGAUCCUGGCUCAGAGCGAACGUUAGCGGCACGCUUAACACAUGCAAGUCGCACGAGAAAGGGGGCAACCCUGAGUACAGUGGCGCACGGGUGCGUAACACGUAGAUAAUCUGCCCUUCGGCGGGGGACAACGUUCCGAAAGGAGCGCUAAUACCGCAUACAGCUGAGAGUGGUUUGCCACUUUCAGGCAAAGGUAGGGACCGGCAACGGCCUAUCGCCGGAGGAGGAGUCUGCGGCCCAUCAGCUAGUUGGGGAGGUAAUGGCUCACCAAGGCAGAGACGGGUAGCUGGUCUGAGAGGAUGAUCAGCCACACUGGUACUGGAACACGGACCAGACUCCUACGGGAGGCAGCAGUGGGGAAUCUUGGUCAAUGGGCGCAAGCCUGAACCAGCGAUGCCGCGUGAGUGAUGAAGGCCUUCGGGUUGUAAAGCUCUGUGGGGAGGGACGAAAGAAUCGGUUCUAACAGGACCGACGUUGACGGUACCUCCUUAGCAAGCACCGGCUAACUCUGUGCCAGCAGCCGCGGUAAGACAGAGGGUGCAAACGUUGCUCGGAAUUACUGGGCGUAAAGGGCGUGUAGGCGGGAAGGCGAGUCGGGCGUGAAAUCCCCAAGCUCAACUUGGGAACUGCACUCGAAACUGCCUUUCUUGAGUGCCGGAGAGGAAAGCGGAAUUCCUGGUGUAGAGGUGAAAUUCGUAGAUAUCAGGAGGAACACCAGUGGCGAAGGCGGCUUUCUGGACGGUUACUGACGCUGANNNGCGAAAGCGUGGGGAGAAACAGGAUUAGAUACCCCAGUAGUCC